rnacentral:rRNA from 1 species
UACGUAUGGAGCAAGCGUUAUCCGGAUUUACUGGGUGUAAAGGGAGUGUAGGUGGCAUCACAAGUCAGAAGUGAAAACCCGUGGCUCAACCGCGGGACUGCUUUUGAAACUGUGGAGCUGGAGUGCAGGAGAGGCAAGUGGAAUUCCUAGUGUAGCGGUGAAAUGCGUAGAUAUUAGGAGGAACACCAGUGGCGAAGGCGGCUUGCUGGACUGUAACUGACACUGAGGCUCGAAAGCGUGGGGAGCAA